ACGAGCGCUGGCGGCGUGCUUAACACAUGCACGUCGCACGGAAAGGCCCUGCUUUUGUGGGGUGCUCGAGUGGCGAACGGGUGAGUAACACGUGAGUAACCUGCCCUUGACUUUGGGAUAACUUCAGGAAACUGGGGCUAAUACCGGAUAGGAGCUCCUGCUGCAUGGUGGGGGUUGGAAAGUUUCGGCGGUUGGGGAUGGACUCGCGGCUUAUCAGCUUGUUGGUGGGGUAGUGGCUUACCAAGGCUUUGACGGGUAGCCGGCCUGAGAGGGUGACCGGCCACAUUGGGAAUGAGAUACGGCCCAGACUCCUACGGGAGGCAGCAGUGGGGAAUAUUGCACAAUGGGCGGAAGCCUGAUGCAGCAACGCCGCGUGCGGGAUGACGGCCUUCGGGUUGUAAACCGCUUUCGCCUGUGACGAAGCGUGAGUGACGGUAAUGGGUAAAGAAGCACCGGCUAACUACGUG
rnacentral:rRNA from 1 species